AUAAGCAAUUAUACGGCGAAACUGCGAAUGGCUCAUUAUAUAAGUUAUCGUUUAUUUGAUAGUACCUUACUACUUGGAUAACCGUGGUAAUUCUAGAGCUAAUACAUGCGCAAAACCCCGACUUCGGAAGGGGUGUAUUUAUUAGAUUAAAAGCCAACGCCCUCCGGGGCUUCUUGGUGAUUCAUGAUAACUCCUCGAAUCGCACGGCCUUGCGCCGGCGAUGGUUCAUUCAAAUUUCUUCCCUAUCAACUUUCGAUGUUUGGGUAUUGGCCAAACAUGGUUGCAACGGGUAACGGAGGGUUAGGGCUCGACCCCGGAGAAGGAGCCUGAGAAACGGCUACUACAUCCAAGGAAGGCAGCAGGCGCGCAAAUUACCCAAUCCCGACACGGGGAGGUAGUGACAAUAAAUACUGAUACAGGGCUCUUUCGGGUCUUGUAAUUGGAAUGAGUACAAUUUAAAUCCCUUAACGAGGAACAAUUGGAGGGCAAGUCUGGUGCCAGCAGCCGCGGUAAUUCCAGCU
rnacentral:rRNA from 1 species